ACUGGGCAUGGUGGCGCAUGCCUGUAAUUCCAGUGGCUUGGGAGGUGGAGGCAGGAGGAUCUCAAGUUCAAAGCCAGCCUCAGCAAAAGCAAGGCAUUAAGCAACUCAGGGAGACCCUGUCUCUA
rnacentral:sRNA from 1 species